UAAAUCCCUUUAAUUUAAGUACCUAGUCCUGAUUUGAAAUUAGAUAUAGGCUGCAAAGAGGUAAAAUAGACCCCAAGUAUAGUCCAGCUGUUGGUUUUACGGUUGUGGAUUCAUAUUUUGACUGGAAGAAAUAUUUUACUCUACAUGGUUCCAAGUUUUUACAAUGCACUGCAUAUUGUAUUGUAUUAAGGAUAACUGCCAACUCCUACAAAAUAGUUUCUACUAGGAAAUGACAAAGACUGGGAAAUCAGAUGCCUACCUGGCAGGUGUGAUGUCCCUGUAUGCCAGGGAAAGUACAAAUUUUCAACUGGCAAGAAGCCUGAGGCCAGGAGAUGGAGGGCAGUAAUGCAGAAGAUUGCUGAUUGUCCUCUGACCCCGGAAAGGUCAAACUACUGUCCCCAAACAAGACAUAUUUGGGAAAAGGAUCCCCCUGCAAGUGUGGAUACCACCAGUCAGCAGAGAAGGCAUUGACAGCAGCAUCCAGUGCAGGUCAGCUGAGUGCUCCACAGG